UCGCAGGAUAUUGAUUCCGCCGAGUCGCAGGAAAGUUCAAGAUUCUACUCGUAUUGUGCGUGUGACUAGGACCGAAAUUACUCGUCGUGUUAUACCCGCUAGGCAAUGAAGAUCGCCUUGUGAAGAGCGAUGCCGCGAAAAAAUUCCAAACGAAGAAAACCAAAGAAGACUAAAAAAACUAAGAAAAACAAAACAAAGACGAAUGUACGUAAGACGAUUCGACAAAGUGCGAUAAACCAUCGGACUCUGCGUGCGGCUCAGGCUUUAACACAGCGUCAGAUACACCGUCGCACACAGAAUCAGACACAGCAUCGGAGAAAACGUCAGACACAGCGUCGCAAAAGUAUGGCGCGAAAAAGUCGGACGACCCGGCAUAGUCGGAUGAGUCGCGCGUCGAAGAGCGGAAGUUCGUCGAUGGCCAGGGUAUCGAAACAAAGGAUUUUACUUGCACAAGGAACUUACACGAGGAACUCCGACGUCUGCUCUUGCAAAACUUUCACGGCACCCGGUUGGCGGCAACGAUGAGAAAGCAAAAUGAUCCUACUUUUAAGGCUUUGCAAACUGACAGAUUUCUACUGCGGAGACGCUAAAAAGCGGAGUAAGGCUGGCUGAUUGGCAAUACGUCAGUCAUCAACGUAUCAGCGUUGAGGACUUGCCGGAAUUUUGAUGCCGGAAUUCAACCUUGAAUGGCAUUUCCGUAACGCGUAGUAGCUAUUGAGGCGCUCAAAAAUUUGCGAAGAUUUAUGAAUAAUUGUAUUGUUUGUCACCGUCGUAUUGACACCUAGGAAGUCUUGGUUAUCAAGCGUUAGUCGAUGCGUAAAUCUAUAACAAAUGCAAAAUUAUUAACAAUGUUUUCGUAUGCAGAAAAUUCACCAAAAAAGGUCAAGACACAUAAACGCAAGAAAAGCCACGAUACAACGCUUGCAGUCGUCCUCGUCAUCGUGAUGGUAGCCCUCGCCAUACUAAUUAUCUUCUGGAGCGUCACGAGUUGAGAUUUUCGUCAGGUGCCAUGGACGCACGCUUAUCCUUCAGCGGCAGGGAAAAAAAAAGCCAUGAUACGCUAAACUCGCGUUGAUUCAGCACAAUGGACCUGCAGUAACAGCCAUGUGGUAGCGUCUUCCGCUUGGCUCGUCAGGAUCCUCACCACAUCGUGACCCAGCUAACCUCAGCGAAGAGAAAUUGAACAGAAUUAAAAAUUGUAAGAAUCCACAAAACCUCGCGAUGCAGAACAAGUUUUAUGUCGAGCGUAACAUGUCAGGUUUGAAGUCUACCGCAAGAGCGUCUACCGGAACUUAGCGCUAAAAAAAAAAAUAGAGUGGAGCAACUCGUUGACAGA